GCCCAUGUGCCCGGGAUAACUUACUGGAAACGGAUGCUAAAACCGGAUAGGUAGCAGACAAGCAUUUGACUGCUAUUAAAGUGGCUAAGGCCAUGAACAUGGAUGGACCUGCGGUGCAUUAGCUAGUUGGUGAGGUAACGGCCCACCAAGGCGACGAUGCAUAGCCGGCCUGAGAGGGCGGACGGCCACAUUGGGACUGAGACACGGCCCAAACUCCUACGGGGAGGCAGCAUG
rnacentral:rRNA from 1 species